CGGGUAGCCGGCCUGAGAGGGUGACCGGCCACACUGGGACUGAGACACGGCCCAGACUCCUACGGGAGGCAGCAGUGGGGAAUAUUGCACAAUGGGCGAAAGCCUGAUGCAGCAACGCCGCGUGAGGGAUGACGGCCUUCGGGUUGUAAACCUCUUUUAGUAGGGAAGAAGCGAAAGUGACGGUACCUGCAGAAAAAGCACCGGCUAACUACGUGCCAGCAGCCGCGGUAAUACGUAGGGUGCAAGCGUUGUCCGGAAUUAUUGGGCGUAAAGAGCUCGUAGGCGGUUUGUCGCGUCUGCUGUGAAAUCCCGAGGCUCAACCUCGGGCUUGCAGUGGGUACGGGCAGACUAGAGUGCGGUAGGGGAGAUUGGAAUUCCUGGUGUA
rnacentral:rRNA from 1 species